CAGGGCGCACCAGUCGCGUGCUCUAGACCCGAAGCGGAGUGAUCUACCCAUGGGCAGGUUGAAGCACGUGUAAGAGCGUGUGGAGGACCGAACCCACUUAGGUUGAAAACUGAGGGGAUGACCUGUGGGUAGGGGUGAAAGGCCAAUCAAACUCCGUGAUAGCUGGUUCUCCCCGAAAUGCAUUUAGGUGCAGCGUCAUGUGUUUCUUGCCGGAGGUAGAGCUACUGGAUGGCCGAUGGGCCCUACAAGGUUACUGACGUCAACCAAACUCCGAAUGCCGGUAAGUGAGAGCAUGGCAGUGAGACUGCGGGCUAAGGUUCUGGUCAGAGGGAAACAGCCCAGACCACCGGCUAAGGCCCCCAAGCGUGUGUAAGUGGGAAAGGAUGUGGAGU
rnacentral:ncRNA from 1 species